rnacentral:rRNA from 1 species
UACGUAGGGCGCGAGCGUUAAUCGGAAUUACUGGGCGUAAAGCGUGCGCAGGCGGUUCGUUGUGUCGGCGGUGAAAGCCCCGGGCUUAACCUGGGAAUGGCCGUUGAAACUGGCGAACUGGAGUGUGGCAGAGGGGGGUGGAAUUCCGCGUGUAGCAGUGAAAUGCGUAGAGAUGCGGAGGAACACCGAUGGCGAAGGCAGCCCCCUGGGCUAACACUGACGCUCAGGCACGAAAGCGUGGGGAUCAAACAGG